UUGGACAAUGGGCGCAAGCCUGAUCCAGCCAUGCCGCGUGUGUGAAGAAGGCCUUCGGGUUGUAAAGCACUUUCAGUGGUGAGGAAGGGGUGCUAGUUAAUAGCUAGUAUCAUUGACGUUAGCCACAGAAGAAGCACCGGCUAACUCCGUGCCAGCAGCCGCGGUAAUACGGAGGGUGCGAGCGUUAAUCGGAAUUACUGGGCGUAAAGCGCACGUAGGCGGUUUGUUAAGCAAGAUGUGAAAGCCCAGGGCUCAACCUUGGAAUUGCAUUUUGAACUGGCAAGCUAGAGUUUUGAAGAGGGUGGUAGAAUUUCCAGUGUAGCGGUGAAAUGCGUAGAUAUUGGAAGGAAUACCAGUGGCGAAGGCGGCCACCUGGUCAAAAACUGACGCUGAGGAGCGAAAGCGUGGGGAGCAAACAGGAUUAGAUACCCUGGUAGUCCACGCCGUAAACGAUGUCAACUAGUUGUUCGUGUCUUAAGACGUGAGUAACGCAGCUAACGCACUAAGUUGACCGCCUGGGGAGUACGGCCGCAAGGUUAAAACUCAAAUGAAUUGACGGGGGCCCGCACAAGCGGUGGAGCAUGUGGUUUAAUUCGAUGCAACGCGAAGAACCUUACCAUCCCUUGACAUCCAGAGAAUUUUCUAGAGAUAGAUUAGUGCCUUCGGGAACUCUGAGACAGGUGCUGCAUGGCUGUCGUCAGCUCGUGUUGUGAGAUGUUGGGUUAAGUCCCGCAACGAGCGCAACCCUUAUCCUUAGUUGCCAGCACGUAAUGGUGGGAACUCUAGGGAGACUGCCGGUGAUAAACCGGAGGAAGGUGGGGACGACGUCAAGUCAUCAUGGCCCUUACGGGAUGGGCUACACACGUGCUACAAUGGCGCGCACAAAGGGCAGCAAGCUAGCGAUAGCAAGCGAAUCUCAAAAAGCGCGUCGUAGUCCGGAUUGGAGUCUGCAACUCGACUCCAUGAAGUCGGAAUCGCUGGUAAUCGUGGAUCAGAAUGCCACGGUGAAUACGUUCCCGGGCCUUGUACACACCGCCCGUCACACCAUGGGAGUGGGCUGCACCAGAAGUAGAUAGCUUAACCCUCGGGAGAGCGUUUACCACGGUGUGGUUCAUGACUGGGGUGAAGUCGUAACAAGGUAGCCGUAAAUC
rnacentral:rRNA from 1 species